rnacentral:rRNA from 1 species
CCCGCUCCCGGCGCUGGGUGUUAGUGACAAAAAUAACGAUACGGGACUCGUCCAUGGCCCCGUAAUCGGAAUGAGUACACUCUAAGCUCUAUAACCAGGAUCGAUUGGUGGGCAAGUCGGGUGCCAUAUGCCGGGGUAUUUCGUGCUCCUUUAUCGUAUUUUACAGUGUUGGGUUUAAAGUGCUCGUAAUC